CCAAUCUCUAUUUUUAUUUUCCCUUAUUUCCUUUAUCUGCUUUUGUGACUUUGUUGAGAAUGUUCUUUUUAUUUCCUGGUUAGAUUCUGAAACCGGUGAAGAAAUCACAAAUUUAUUGAUUUGAAAUUAGAAAUUGUUUGCUGAACACAAAUUUCUAUGCCCUGCUUGAUCCCUAUUUGAUUAUUUGUAUCCAUCUUGUUUGAUAAUAUAUCAAGUUAAUUUCUACAAAUUAUGUUGGGGAGAGAGGGGACUCGUGCGCCAAGGAAACAAGACACCAAUAGAACCAAACGCCACAUCUUAGAACCUGUGUGAGUUGAAGUGUCACAUUGGUUAAAGUUUUUUGUUAAGAUGUGAUGUCGGGUUCUCUUGGUGUUUGUUUCCUUGGCUUUCUCAUUUCCCCAACAAAUUAAGUAUGAGAUUCGAGGGUUCUUAUGAAGUAAACUAGUUAUAAAUGCAGUUUAGGAAGAGAUUUCAUUAUUUACUUUUACAAUCUUAUAUGCAGGGCAUUGCUGAAUGCUGAAACCAUCACAUAUCUGCAAAUGGACUAAUGGAGAAUGAUUUCUUGCCAAGAAGUCAAGAACUCCCAAUCCAAUGGAAGAUAUAUUCAAAUCAAUAUUCUGUUUGUUGCUGAGCGGAGUUAAAUGCCUUGAUGAUCUCUUAAACCAGGCAUUGAUGAUUUAAACAGCUUGCCCUGCUUAUUAUUCUUGGUUUGCCUGAGGGACACCUUCAUACAUACCUGAGGGUACGGUCGAAAGUUAAGAGAUCAAAGGAGACUUUAUACACCAGGACAAAUGUAUAUCAUAUUGUUGAGAGAAAUUUUUGCAGACGACGGAGAUUUCCUCCUGAAGUGAGGACUGCUAUUCCUAUUGAUGGAAGAUUUAAGCCUAUUGUGUUAUCCUGUAAUGCAACAUCAGAUCAUGGAAUUAUUCGGAUUGAGAGGGAGGCAGAGAAAGCCUUAAUUACAAGUAAGAAAUGUUAGUUGUAACAAAAUUAAUCUAGCAUUUGCGGUUUGUUUUGCUCCUUUUUUAACAUCUCAUUGUUCUUUGAAGCUUGAGAUUUUUUGGUAUUUAGAAUAAUGUAAUCUAUGGAUCAAAUUUUGCUCAUAAAGUUUAAUGCCAAUGACCCUACAUCUUAUUGAAAUACUAUCAUUUGCUAAUACCAUAGAAAGUUGAGAACUAUUCACUGCAACCUUAUUGAUUUUGCUUACAAUUAAAUACAUGCUUUUGCUAAACUUCUCGAGGA